GACGAACGCUGUCGGCGUGCCUAAUACAUGCAAGUAGGACGCAGUUGCGAACGGGUGAGUAACGCGUAGGUAACUACCUAUUAGAGGGGGAUAACUAUUAGAAACGAUAGCUAAUACCGCAUACUAGUAUAUGGACCUUCGUUGUAUUAGCUAGUAGGUAGGGUAAUGGCCUACCUAGGCAACGCUACAUAGCCGACCUGAGAGGGGGAUCGGCGACACUGGGAAUGAGACAAGGCCCAGACUCCUACGGGAGGCAGCAGUAGGGAAUCGUCGGCAAGGGGGGGAACCGUGACCGAGCAUCGUCGGGGGAGUGAGGAAGGUUUUCGGAUCGUAAAGCGCUGUUGUUAAGGAAGCGGUACUUAACCAGAAAGGGACGGCUAACUACGUGCCAGCAGCCGCGGUAAUUC
rnacentral:rRNA from 1 species